UGCCCCAUGGCUGAGUUGGUUACAGCGUCCGACUGUUAAGAAGCGAGUCUUCGGUCAUCGGAAGGUCGUGAGUUCGAGCCUCACUGGGGCAG